AUGCUGGAGGUAUCAGAAGUGCGAAUGCUGACGUGAGUAACGACAAAACGGGUGAAAAACCCGUUCGCCGAAAGACCAAGGGUUCCAGUCCAACGUUAAUCGGGGCUGGGUGAGUCGACCCCUAAGGCGAGGCCGAAAGGCGUAGUCGAUGGGAAAAUGGUUAAUAUUCCAUUACUUCUGUGUAAUGCGAUGAGAGGACGGAGAAGGCUAAAUCAGCCUGGCGUUGGUUGUCCAGGUGAAAGGAUGUAGGCAUGUAUCUUAGGCAAAUCCGGGGUACUCUAUGCUGAGAUCUGAUAGCAAGCUGUACUUGUACAGCGAAGUGGUUGAUGCCAUGCUUCCAGGAAAAGUCUCUAAGCUUCAGUUACACAGGAAUCGUACCCGAAACCGACACAGGUGGUCAGGUCGAGUAGACCAAGGCGCUUGAGAGAACUCUGCUGAAGGAACUAGGCAAAAUGGUACCGUAACUUCGGGAGAAGGUACGCUGUUGUUGGUGAUGGAACUCGCUUCCUGAGCUGACGACAGCCGCAGAAACCAGGCCGCUGCAACUGUUUAUUAAAAACAUAGCACUCUGCAAACACGAAAGUGGACGUAUAGGGUGUGAUGCCUGCCCGGUGCUGGAAGGUUAAUUGAUGGGGUUAGCGUAAGCGAAGCUCUUGAUCGAAGCCCCAGUAAACGGCGGCCGUAACUAUAACGGUCCUAAGGUAGCGAAAUUCCUUGUCGGGUAAGUUCCGACCUGCACGAAUGGCAUAAUGAUGGCGGCGCUGUCUCCAGCAGAGGCUCAGUGAAAUCGAAAUCGCUGUGAAGAUGCAGUGUACCCGCGGCUAGACGGAAAGACCCCGUGAACCUUUACUGCAGCUUGACACUGAACUUUGACCUUACUUGUGUAGGAUAGGUGGGAGGCUUUGAAGCUGGAACGCUAGUUCCAGUGGAGCCGUCCUUGAAAUACCACCCUGGUAAUGUUGAGGUUCUAACUCUGUCCCGUGAUCCGGGACGAGGACCGUGUCUGGUGGGUAGUUUGACUGGGGCGGUCUCCUCCUAAAGAGUAACGGAGGAGUACGAAGGUGCGCUCAGCGUGGUCGGAAAUCACGCGUAGAGUAUAAAGGCAAAAGCGCGCUUAACUGCGAGACCCACAAGUCGAGCAGGUACGAAAGUAGGUCUUAGUGAUCCGGUGGUUCUGUAUGGAAGGGCCAUCGCUCAACGGAUAAAAGGUACUCUGGGGAUAACAGGCUGAUACCGCCCAAGAGUUCAUAUCGACGGCGGUGUUUGGCACCUCGAUGUCGGCUCAUCUCAUCCUGGGGCUGAAGCAGGUCCCAAGGGUAUGGCUGUUCGCCAUUUAAAGAGGUACGCGAGCUGGGUUUAGAACGUCGUGAGACAGUUCGGUCCCUAUCUACCGUGGGCGCUGGAAAUUUGAGAGGAUCUGCUCCUAGUACGAGAGGACCAGAGUGGACGAACCUCUGGUGUACCGGUUGUGACGCCAGUCGCAUCGCCGGGUAGCUAUGUUCGGAAGGGAUAACCGCUGAAAGCAUCUAAGCGGGAAGCCUACCUCAAGAUAAGAUUUCCCUAGGACUUUAUGUCCUCUAAAGAGCCGUUCGAGACUAGGACGUUGAUAGGUUGGAUGUGGAAGCAUAGUGAUAUGUGAAGCUGACCAAUACUAAUUGCUCGUGAGGCUUGACU
rnacentral:rRNA from 27 species